rnacentral:rRNA from 1 species
UACGUAGGGUGCAAGCGUUGUCCGGAAUUAUUGGGCGUAAAGAGCUCGUAGGCGGUCUGUUGCGUCCGCUGUGAAAACUCGGGGCUUAACCCCGAGCCUGCAGUGGAUACGGGCAGACUAGAGGUAGGUAGGGGAGAAUGGAAUUCCCAGUGUAGAGGUGAAAUUCGUAGAUAUUGGGUGGAACACCGGUGGCGAAAGCGGCUCUCUGGUCCGGACCUGACGCUGAGGCGCGAAAGCGUGGGGAGCAAACAGG